AGCGAACGCUGGCGGCAGGCUUAACACAUGCAAGUCGAACGCCCCGCAAGGGGAGUGGCAGACGGGUGAGUAACACGUGGGAACGUACCCUUUGGUUCGGAAUAACUUGGGGAAACUCAAGCUAAUACCGGAUAAGCCCUUAUGGGGAAAGGUUUACUGCCGAAGGAUCGGCCCGCGUCUGAUUAGCUAGUUGGUGAGGUAAUGGCUCACCAAGGCGACGAUCAGUAGCUGGUCUGAAAGGAUGAUCAGCCACACUGGGACUGAGACACGGCCCAGACUCCUGCGGGAGGCAGCAGUGGGGAAUAUUGGACAAUAGGGGCAACCCUGAUCCAGCCAUGCCGCGUGAGUGAUGAAGGCCUUAGGGUUGUAAAGCUCUUUUACCCGGGACGAUAAUGACUGUACCGGGAGAAUAAGCCCCGGCUAACUUCGUGCCAGCAGCCGCAGUAA
rnacentral:rRNA from 1 species